rnacentral:rRNA from 1 species
GACGAACGCUGGCGGCGUGCUUAACACAUGCAAGUCGAGCGGUAAGGCCCUUUCGGGGGUACACGAGCGGCGAACGGGUGAGUAACACGUGGGUGACCUGCCCUCAGCUCUGGGAUAAGCCUGGGAAACCGGGUCUAAUACCGGAUAUGACUCCAUGACGCAUGUUGUGGGGUGGAAAGCCUUGUGCGGCUGGAGGAGUCGGGCCCGCGGCCUAUCAG